GGCGAACGGGUGAGUAAUGCAUCGGAACGUGCCCAACUGGUGGGGGAUAGCUCGGCGAAAGCCGGAUUAAUACCGCAUACGAUCCACGGAUGAAAGCGGGGGACCUUCGGGCCUCGCGCAGUUGGAGCGGCCGAUGUUAGAUUAGGUAGUUGGUGGGGUAAAGGCUCACCAAGCCAACGAUCUAUAGCUGGUCUGAGAGGACGACCAGCCACACUGGGACUGAGACACGGCCCAGACUCCUACGGGAGGCAGCAGUGGGGAAUUUUGGACAAUGGGCGCAAGCCUGAUCCAGCAAUACCGCGUGCAGGAAGAAGGCCUUCGGGUUGUAAACUGCUUUUGUACGGAACGAAAAGGUCUGGGUUAAUACCCUGGGCCCAUGACGGUACCGUAAGAAUAAGCACCGGCUAACUACGUGCCAGCAGCCGCGGUAAUACGUAGGGUGCAAGCGUUAAUCUGAAUUACUGGGCGUAAAGCGUGC
rnacentral:rRNA from 1 species